rnacentral:rRNA from 1 species
AGUGAACGCUGGCGGUAGGCCUAACACAUGCAAGUCGAACGGCAGCACAGUAAGAGCUUGCUCUUACGGGUGGCGAGUGGCGGACGGGUGAGGCAUACAUCGGAAUCUACUUUUUCGUGGGGGAUAACGUAGGGAAACUUACGCUAAUACCGCAUACUACCUACGGGUGAAAGCAGGGGAUCUUCGGACCUUGCGCGACUGAAUGAGCCGAUGUCGGAUUAGCUAGUUGGCGGGGUAAAGGCCCACCAAGGCGACGAUCCGUAGCUGGUCUGAGAGGAUGAUCGGCCACACUGGAACUGAGACACGGUCCAGACUCCUACGGGAGGCAGCAGUGGGGAAUAUUGGACAAUGGGCGCAAGCCUGAUCCAGCCAUACCGCGUGGGUGAAGAAGGCCUUCGGGUUGUAAAGCCCUUUUGUUGGGAAAGAAAAGCAGCAGGUUAAUCCCCCGCUGUUCUGACGGUACCCAAAGAAUAAGCACCGGCUAACUUCGUG